GAUGAACGCUAGCGGCAGGCUUAACACAUGCAAGUCGAGGGGUAGAAAUAGCUUGCUAUUUUGAGACCGGCGCACGGGUGCGUAACGCGUAUGCAAUCUGCCUUUUACAGGGGAAUAGCCCAGAGAAAUUUGGAUUAAUGCCCCAUAGCGCUGCAGGGCGGCAUCGCCGAGCAGCUAAAGUCACAACGGUAAAAGAUGAGCAUGCGUCCCAUUAGCUAGUUGGUAAGGUAACGGCUUACCAAGGCGAUGAUGGGUAGGGGUCCUGAGAGGGAGAUCCCCCACACUGGUACUGAGACACGGACCAGACUCCUACGGGAGGCAGCAGUGAGGAAUAUUGGUCAAUGGGCGCAAGCCUGAACCAGCCAUGCCGCGUGCAGGAUGAAGCAUCUAUGGUGUGUAAACUGCUUUUAUACAGGAAGAAACACUCCCUCGUGAGGGAGCUUGACGGUACUGUAGGAAUAAGGAUCGGCUAACUCCGUGCCAGCAGCCGCGGUAAUACGGAGGAUCCAAGCGUUAUCCGGAAUCAUUGGGCUUAAAGGGUCCGUAGGCGGCCCUGUAAGUCAGUGGUGAAAUCUCCCCGCUCAACGGGGAAACGGCCAUUGAUACUGCAGGGCUUGAAUUAUUGGGAAGUAACUAGAAUAUGUAGUGUAGCGGUGAAAUGCUUAGAUAUUACAUGGAAUACCAAUUGCGAAGGCAGGUUACUAUCAAUACAUUGACGCUGAUGGACGAAAGCGUGGGUAGCGAACAGGAUUAGAUACCCUGGUAGUCCACGCCGUAAACGAUGGAUACUAGCUGUUCGGGGCAACCUGAGUGGCUAAGCGAAAGUGAUAAGUAUCCCACCUGGGGAGUACGUUCGCAAGAAUGAAACUCAAAGGAAUUGACGGGGGCCCGCACAAGCGGUGGAGCAUGUGGUUUAAUUCGAUGAUACGCGAGGAACCUUACCAGGGCUUAAAUGUAGUCUGACAGUUUUGGAAACAGAAUUUUCUUCGGACAGAUUACAAGGUGCUGCAUGGUUGUCGUCAGCUCGUGCCGUGAGGUGUCAGGUUAAGUCCUAUAACGAGCGCAACCCCUGUCGUUAGUUGCCAGCGAGUCAUGUCGGGAACUCUAACGAGACUGCCAGUGCAAACUGAGAGGAAGGUGGGGAUGACGUCAAAUCAUCACGGCCCUUACGCCCUGGGCUACACACGUGCUACAAUGGACGGUACAGAGAGCAGCCACUGGGCGACCAGGAGCGAAUCUACAAAACCGUUCACAGUUCGGAUCGGAGUCUGCAACUCGACUCCGUGAAGCUGGAAUCGCUAGUAAUCGGAUAUCAGCCAUGAUCCGGUGAAUACGUUCCCGGGCCU
rnacentral:rRNA from 1 species